rnacentral:rRNA from 1 species
UACGGGGGGGGCAAGCGUUGUUCGGAAUUACUGGGCGUAAAGGGCGCGUAGGCGGCCUGCUAAGUCACACGUGAAAUCCCUCGGCUCAACCGGGGAACUGCGUGUGAUACUGGCGGGCUUGAAUUCGGGAGAGGGAUGUGGAAUUCCAGGUGUAGCGGUGAAAUGCGUAGAUAUCUGGAGGAACACCGGUGGCGAAGGCGGUAUCCUGGACCGAGAUUGACGCUGAGGCGCGAAAGCUAGGGGAGCAAACGGG